rnacentral:rRNA from 1 species
CCCUUAGACGUUCUGGGCCGCACGCGCGCUACACUGACCAGUGCAACAAGCAUCCGUCCUUGGCCGACAGGCUCGGGCAAUCUUUGAACGCUGGUCGUGAUGGGGAUAGACUUUUGCAAUUUUUGGUCUUCAACGAGGAAUUCCUAGUAAACGCAAGUCAUCAACUUGCAUUGAUUACGUCCCUGCCCUUUGUACACACCGCCCGUCGCACCUACCGAUUGAAUGGUCCGGUGAAGCCUCCGGAUUGGCGCGCACCUCGGUGCCGCCGAGAAGUUGGCUAAACCUUACCAUCUAGAGGAAGGUGAAGUCGUANCA